GAUGAACGCUGGCGGCGUGCCUAAUACAUGCAAGUCGAACGAACAGAUGAGGAGCUUGCUCCUCUGACGUUAGCGGCGGACGGGUGAGUAACACGUGGAUAACCUACCUAUAAGACUGGGAUAACUUCGGGAAACCGGAGCUAAUACCGGAUAAUAUAUUGAACCGCAUGGUUCAAUAGUGAAAGACGGUUUUGCUGUCACUUAUAGAUGGAUCCGCGCCGCAUUAGCUAGUUGGUAAGGUAACGGCUUACCAAGGCAACGAUGCGUAGCCGACCUGAGAGGGUGAGCGGCCACACUGGAACUGAGACACGGUCCAGACUCCUACGGGAGGCAGCAGUAGGGAAUCUGCCGCAAGGGGCGAAAGCCUGACGGAGCAACGCCGCGUGAGUGAUGAAGGUCUUCGGAUCGUAAAACUCUGUUAUUAGGGAAGAACAAAUGUGUAAGUAACUAUGCACGUCUUGACGGUACCUAAUCAGAAAGCCACGGCUAACUACG
rnacentral:rRNA from 1 species